CAGCGCCCCUCCACCCUUUGCGCGCCCAGCUGUUUCUAUAGGAACCGCGACAGCGCCCGGGCCCCUCCGGCAGAGGCCCCGGUGCGAGCAUGCCCAGUGGAAGCCGCUAGUUUGGCUCCGGUCUAGGUUUCCAGUAAGUGGCCUGCGGGACUCCGGAGAGAUCCCCGUGAGCUGAGCGGAGAGUCUUUGUGUGCAGAGGGAGGAGGCGGUGGCGGCGGCCGCCUGGCCUGGAGACCCCGCCCGGGAGCCCCCGCCAGGAACAAUGCUAGCCUGCUUGACCCGGGGGAACUUACUGGACGUCCUGCAGGAGGGCUUCAAUGAGCAACAGCUCCAGGCGUAUGUGGCCUGGGUGAAUGCACAGCUCAAGAAGAGGCCAGCAGUGAAGCCGGUGCAGGACCUGCGACAGGAUCUUCGGGAUGGGGUGAUCCUGGCAUAUCUCAUCGAGAUCGUUGCAGGAGAAAAGCUGAAUGGGGUACAGUUGAGUCCCAGUAACCAACAGGAGAUGAAGAACAAUGUGGAGAAAGUGCUACAGUUCGUGGCCUCCAAAAAGAUUCGUAUGCACCAGACUUCGGCUAAAGAUAUUGUGGAAGGAAACCUGAAGUCUAUCAUGAGGCUGGUCCUUGCCUUGGCAGCUCAUUUCAAACCUGGCUCCAACAGGACAGUGAGCCAAGGACGGGACUCCAGAACCCCUCUGCAGAGUCACCAACCACACUGUGCCACUGCUGUGGCCCAGGGGGCAGCUGCCGCUCUGGCCGACGUGUGUCAUGACAUGUCACGGUCGGGACGGGAUGUCUUUCGAUACAGGCAGAGGAACAACAGCGUGGACGAGGAGAUUGAGAACCCGUACUGGAGCGUGCGAGCCCUGGUGCAGCGGUACGAAGGGCAGCAGAGGUCCCCGUCUGAGUCCAGCUGUAACAGCCUGACUUCACCCAGUCCUAUCCACAGCGCAAAGAGCGAGUCCAUUAUAACCCAGUCGGAGGAGAAGGCAGAUUUUGUGAUUAUUCCCUCUGAAGGGAUAGAGAACAGAACAGAGGAGACAGACUCUCCGUUUUCCCGAGAGUGGCGACCAGGCAGCCCCGGGACCUGUCUGGAGACCUCAUGGGAAGAACAGCUGCUGGAACAACAAGAACAUUUAGAAAAAGAAAUGGAGGAAGCAAAGAAAAUGAUAUCAGGAUUACAGGCCUUACUGCUCAAUGGAUCCUUACCUGAAGACGAACAGGACAGGCCCUUGGCCCUCUGUGAACCGGGAGUCAAUCCUGAGGAACAACUGAUUAUAAUCCAAAGUCGUCUGGAUCAGAGUAUGGAGGAGAAUCAGGACCUAAAGAAGGAGCUGCUGAAAUGUAAACAAGAAGCCAGAAACUUACAGGGGAUAAAGGAUGCCUUGCAGCAGAGGCUGACUCAGCAGGACACAUCUGUUCUUCAGCUCAAACAGGAACUGCUGAGGGCAAAUAUGGACAAAGACGAGCUACACAACCAGAAUGUGGAUCUGCAGAGGAAGCUGGAUGAGAGGAACCGGCUCUUGGGAGACUAUAAAAAAGAGCUGGGGCAGAAGGAGCGCCUCCUUCAGCAGCACCAGGCUAAGUUGGAAGACGCACUCCGGAAACUCUCUGAGGCCAGUUACCAGCAGGUGGAUCUAGAGCGGGAGCUAGAACACAAAGACGUCCUUUUGGCUCACUGUAUGAAAAGAGAGGCAGACGAGGUGACCAGCUACAACAGACACAACUCUCAAAGCAAUGGUUUUUUCCUUCCAGCGGCAGGAAAAGGAGCUGCUUCCGUCACUCACAAAGGGACCAGCGAUCUGCAGCUGGUUCGAGAUGCCCUCCGAAGCCUGCGCAAUAGCUUCAGUGGCCACGAUCCUCAGCACCAUACCAUUGACAGCUUGGAACAGGGCAUCUCCAGCCUUAUGGAGCGCCUGCAUGCCAUGGAGAGCCAGAAGAAACAAGACAGAAGGGAUUUUUGUGUGGCUCCUCAGGUUCGGGGCAAGUUACCAAGAACUCAAGCAGGUAGUGAAUACCGGGAAUCCUGGCCCCCUAAUUCAAAGUUGCCUCACUCACAGAGCUCUCCGGCUGUCAGCAGCACCUGCACUAAAGUGCUCUAUUUCACUGACCGGUCACUUACACCCUUCAUGGUCAAUAUACCAAAGAGGUUGGGGGAGGUGACACUAAAGGAUUUUAAAGCAGCCAUUGACCGGGAGGGGAAUCACCGGUAUCAUUUUAAAGCGCUGGAUCCUGAGUUUGGCACUGUCAAAGAGGAGGUACAGAAUCCGAGGGGAGUCUGGGUGGUGUGCUGCUGAUUCCCAGAGCCACCUCCUCAGGGACUGAUACCCAGCAGUACCCGAGUUCCCUAACCAGGUUUUCCACGAUGACGAUGCCAUCCCUGGUUGGGAAGGGAAAAUUGUAGCCUGGGUGGAAGAAGACCAUGGAGAGAAUUAAUGCUGAGUAUUAGACUGGGGGCUUGUGGAACUUGGCGCCCCCUGGCUGUUUCACUCAGGAAAGAGGACUAAAAUACACUAAGAAGUUUCUAGUUCGUGCUACCAAAACAGAAGCUUCUCCAAGUGUAACAGCCCCAGGCCAGUGCUGUUUCUGUGCCUGGUAUAUGUAGUACAUUUUUUAAAACCCCUGUCAACUGUAGACCAUGGGUCCAUCUGGAGUUCCUUGUCCGUGGGAACACAGUGUUUUAUUCUACUCUGAGGACAACAAACCAAAGGCCUUAACCAAUGGGAAUGGAUGAUCCCGCUCCUGUAGGGGCAUGGCUGCUAUUAUCUGGAACCUGGGAAUUGGAUGCAUCACUCCUGUGUGUUACAGUUUUAUUUUAAUUGGCCUCAAUGGUUGCAGCAAUCAGAGUCCCAGCAUUUGUACUCACAGACAAGGCAAAGGUACCAGCUUUUUUGCUUCUUUGCAGCUAUUGCAAACCAAGAAUAACUCAUGAGGCGGUACCAAAGAUGAAAACCCACUCUUCAGGAAUUUUUUGGACCGGACAUGGAUGGUGCUGAACUGUUGACUGGAUGGAAAAAGCCCAUAUCGUGCUAUACUUGCUAAAACCACGAUUGAGGAAGACCUUUGGCUGCCUCUUGUGUCUUAACUGGUUCUGCAACUUGUCCUUUAGCCCAUGGAGGGCAUGUUUCAUGUACUGCCAGUUUUCUCUAGGGACUCUGUCACUGUAGAGCCAUGUUUUCCCCUUCCAACUGAUGAACUUUGUGUUUGAAAGAAAAAGGAGUUUAAAGUCUCCUUAAAAAUCCAGGCGGGUAUGGAAAGGUGCUGCUACCCAUAUUUUCUUGACUUUCUUUCUCUCAUGACUUCCUGUAGCUCGUGGCAUCUCCUCUUCAGUCAAAAGGAGACAGACCAUUACUUUUGGUAUUUGUGAUUUAUGAGUACUGAGCAUGAGUCACUGGUCUGCCCCUCCUCAUUUCAAGGCCAGAGUUAUUUUCUAUUAUAUAUUUAGUCUAGGUUGAUCCUUUAGGGCACAAUAGGAACCAUGGGGCAUGGAGCAUGAGUUGUGAAUGGCAGGGUUGAUUCUGGGUAAAAAACCUAGAAUCCUUUCUCAUGUGCAACACUGUCCAGUGUAGAAGCUAAAAGAAGAGUUAAACUUUCAGAGAUUACUGAAUAACUAGGGUUUUCUCCGUCACUUACCAAACACCAUCAACUAAUCAGCCAUAUGUAUAUAUAUGUAUGUACACACACACACACACACACACACACACACACACACACACACACACACACAUUCAUUCAUUCCCCGAAGCAGUCAGCCUGUGACCACUGCCAACCAGAAGAGUCAGACAUGUCAGUUCUGGGUUCUUGAUGUGUCUGUCUCUAUUUCAUCUCCCUUUUCCAACUGUUUUAACAAACUACUCACUGGAGCUCUGAAAUGACAUUUUGUUGUUUUAUAUAGAUGUGUCUUUUAAAAAUAGUUCAUGUUUGGAGAAUUCUUUUGUACUCAUUUGCCUUUUGUCUGAGAACCAUGUCUAUUUUUGUAACUUGAGUGUGAGUUCUGUAUCUUCUCACAUUCUGAUACUGUAUCCAUUUUCUAGAGAACCCAGUAGCUUUUAUACAGGCUCUUCUCUUAGCCCUUGUGGUUUCAGAACAAGCUUUAUUUUGUUACAAGUAUGCUGAUGACAACUAACUCCUGGUUCUAAUUCUACCUGCCAUUUUCCUUGUGGAGGUAGUUUUAUCUUGUGGAGAUAGUUUUACAUAAUCUAUUUGAUUGCUCCUCUAGCAGAUGAAGGAGCUCAUAAGAUACCUGAUAUCUUUCAGUAAGUUCACUUGAUCUUCUCCUUUUGAAGAAUUUCUCAUCAAAAAUGACUGGGAAAGUUUGGGACAGUCAGUCAAAAGCAAGAAUAAUACAUUAUGAAGCAAACAGAAGAAAACAGUAUAUUCUGAGUGUUUUUUUCCCCCAGGAAGUCUGGAGUAAAAGUCCUCAUGUCACCAAUUUCUCUGUUGCAUGAAUUUUAGUGUUUUACUAUAAGACAGCAUGAGAGUUGUCAGGCCAAAAUCCAUUACUGUAUUUCCAGUACAAUUGAUCUUGAAUGUCUGUUUCUUUAGUUUUUGCUUGUCAGUUUUCUUUGAGCAAACGUCCUUACCGUUAUGGAGAAUUUAACUUUUCAGAGAAAAUUGAGUGGAAGAAAAAUGCCAAAGUCCUUCACCUUAUUUGGCUUUUAUAGCUCUGUCCUUUGGAAGAGGAGAUGCAUGGCCUUAGAGCCUCUAUAGAAAUCUGAAGUUGAAGUCAGGGGAGAAAAUGAGAUCAUUUUUCCCCCUUUAGCUCAUGAAUCUCCUAUGCCACAGGUAAUAACGAAACACCCGGAUGACAGGAUGUCACUCCAGUAAUUCCUGUGUACAGUGUAUUGGCAAUCCUCAUUCCAGUUUCUGAAGACCAGAACCUUGUGAGGAAGUGUUGUGCUUUGGUUCCUUCUGGUUUGAAUUGAUUGCUGUUUGUUACUCUGGCUGCACUAGGAGCCUCUUGAUUUAUUUAGAGAACUGUCCCCUAGUGACAUUUUUGAGGGGUAGUCCAUCCUGACACUGCUGAAAUUCUCUUUGAAAAAACCAAGGGACUAGAAUGUCUUGAGCUCACAUAACCUCUAAAUCCUGUUAGAUUAAAAAAAAAAAACGAUCCUCUCACAAAAACUAGUUUAGAAGAAAGCUCAGUUCCUCAAAAGUCAUCAUUUAAAAAUUGACACCUAUUCUCAGUUCCCUAAAUUAGCUGGAAUUGGAACAUUAUAUAAUUUGUACCUAAAGAAUUUGAGUUAAACUCUCCUUAUUGGCAUUCCUACUUACUACCAUUUCAGCUCCUUUUGACCAGGAUAGUUGAAAAUUAGGGAAAACAUAUCAAAUCCAAGAGGACUCUAAUAAUUACUGAAAAGCAUUCAUGGCAUAGUUAUAAAUUUCAUUUUUUCCAUAAAAUAAGCAUUAUGAUUGCACACUCCUAUUGUCUGAAUUUAUGUAAGAGGUAUAGCUUGCUCAAAAUAUAUAUGUAAAAUUAUAUUUUUCUUAGAAACAUGGAUGUUUGCAAGCAUUGCUUUCAAAGAGAUUACCACCAUGCAUUCUCCCUGUUUUAUGUUUUCAUGAAGACUGUGUUAUACCAGAGGCUUCUGAUUAUCAAAGCGAUAACCAGUUUUUUAACUGCCUGUAUGUACCAGAUUUGUGAACUAAUUUUUAAAAAAGCAGAAAAAAACAUGAAUAAAAUGGAGUUUGCAAACUAAAUACCA